GAUGAACGCUGGCGGCGUGCCUAAUACAUGCAAGUCGAGCGAACAGACGAGGAGCUUGCUCCUCUGACGUUAGCGGCGGACGGGUGAGAACACGUGGAUAACCUACCUAUAAGACUGGGAUAACUUCGGGAAACCGGAGCUAAUACCGGAUAAUAUAUUGAACCGCCUGGUUCAAUAGUGAAAGACGGUUUUGCUGUCACUUAUAGAUGGAUCCGCGCCGCAUUAGCUAGUUGGUAAGGUAACGGCUUACCAAGGCAACGAUGCGUAGCCGACCUGAGAGGGUGAUCGGCCACACUGGAACUGAGACACGGUCCAGACUCCUACGGGAGGCAGCAGUAGGGAAUCUUCCGCAAUGGGCGAAAGCCUGACGGAGCAACGCCGCGUGAGUGAUGAAGGUCUUCGGAUCGUAAAACUCUGUUAUUAGGGAAGAACAAAUGUGUAAGUAACUAUGCACGUCUUGACGGUACCUAAUCAGAAAGCCACGGCUAACUACGUG
rnacentral:rRNA from 1 species